rnacentral:lncRNA from 1 species
AAAGUAUGAAUUACAUCUAUCGAAUGUUGGAUAGAAACCCAUCAAAGAGAAAAUCCGUCAUCGGUUAGGAUGAACAUAUCAAGGAUAGACUCUGUGAGGGGAGGAAAUAGGAAUUACAUCUAUCAGUUACUGGAUAGAAUACCAUCGAAGAGAAAAUUCGUCACCAGUUAGGAUGAACAUAUCAAGGAUAGACUCUGCGGGAG